CAAGAAACCAUCCAGCUUCACUUUGGCUUUCUUGCCACACCCAUGUUCCGCCCACUAUGCAAAGGUCACACAGCUAAAAACACUGGGGAGGAAGUGGCAGCGGGUCGGAGCAGCACAGGAACCCUGGCUGGUGCGCAGAGACCUGAGGAGUCCUGACUUCCUGCCACCCAGCAGGCAGCCUGUUGGCCCUGAGAGGCAGCAUACUGAGCCCGAGGGUUGGAACGCUCGGACAGGAGACCUGGGAUCCAUGAGUGAGCAGAAUUUGUCAGCAUGGUCCCCGCACAUCUUUCAAACACAGGGAUGUGACCUUUUGUGGGUUUUGCCAUUUCAAAGACUGGGAUUCUUCUCCGGGCUCCAGAGAAACCGGUGGCUGGCAUCUCCAAUCUGCACCCCAGCCAGACAUCUAAGGAGCUCAGAAGCAGGCAUGUGGGAUGACGCUCACUGAUCCCGAUGCACCUUUGAUCUGCCAGCCUGAGGGGCCAUUGCUGGAGGUCUUUCUCGGCCAGUCCUAGACAGUAACUGCUGGAGGAUAUAAGUCCCUGUUACACCUGGGUGUAAACCAAGAAAGAAGAGCGAGUGGGUCUCAGUUGGCCCAGCUAUCAAAUGGCCUUCUGUGUUUUAGCUACCGUCUUACCUUGAGUCUUGGGAUUGAGCAGGAAAUAAAAACAACAACACUGAAAAAAAGAACCAAACAAACAACAUUGUAUUUGUCUGUUUUUCACUACUAUAAAUGCCUGAGGUAGGCUGUUUAUGAAGAAAAGAGGUUUGUGGGUGAAAGAGGGGGAGAUCGUAUCACAAAACUGGAAGCCAAAGCAAGGAGGAGGAACUGGGCUUUUAUAACAACUCACACUCCCAGGACUUAUUCCAGGGGACAGUGUUCCCUUCCCAGGGCAGCACGCCCAGGGGCCAAAGGACUCCAAUGAGGCCCUGGCCCUCAGCAUCCCCAUGGCAGGCCCAAGAUCCUGUCAUAUUGACAGGGACAAACCAUGGGCCAACACCAACACCUCCAAGGGAACUGAAAAGAACCCACUUCUGAGCUGCGUGUACCCAGGACCUGUGACCUGGGCUCUAUUGAUGAGAUGUAGUGGUGUCGCAUUUGUAUAGGGAAUAGAGGAACACAGAAUGUGCUAUAGCCAUGCGAUGGUGGAGGCAACCAUGUGGGCUACAGAGUAUGAAAGAGUCAGGGUGCAAACUGGCAUCCAGGGCUUAGUAGCAAUAUUAUCAGUUUUGCCAUCAGAUACGAUUCUGCACUAUGGUGUCCCUGUAGUGUUCGGCAAUUGUAUUUCUUUUGUUGUUAGACUUUUGUGUGUCUUGGAGUUGAUGAUUGCAUCAUCAUUUUAUUUGCUUUGCGUUUUGUGUUUGUUUUUGUGAUGCUUUUUCAACAUACAAGUCACUGUUUCAUCCUCAAAUUCUCAACAAAGCUAUGAAACUUCUUACAAUGCACGUCAGAUAAUCUGUGAGUUCCUUCCCUGCUUAAUUAGUGAGUCUGUUUUUUGUAUGUUUGUUUUGGUACUGGGCAUUGGACCCAGGGCCUCGAGCACACUAAGCACAUACUGUAUCACUGAGCUACACCCUCAGGCCCAAGUCAGCUGCUUUAUUUGUACCUGAAAACUGCCGGGGAUUUAGCUCAGUGGUUUCGCUGCCUGCUGUACCUGAAAACUGAGUGAGAGACUGGUAAAGGGAAUUCCCAUAACAAUGGUGAUGAGAGGGGCCAGGGAUUUAGCUCAGUGGUUCCGGCGCCUGCCUCGAAAGCGCAAGGUCCCGAGUUCGAUCUCUGGUACCAAAAAACAACAACAAAAACAAAACAAUGGUGAUGAGAGUGAGGAAAGACUCCACAGCAGCCGAUCCACAGAGCACUGGCCCCAUUUGGAGCAAAAUGGAUGAGAACCCCAAGAAAACCAUCUAAGAAAACAAUGCAGUUUAUGGAUUAUCUGGGUUGUUUUCUAUAUUGUGAAGAGUUUUAUACUUCUGUUGAAGAAUUUGUGUAGAGUUAGUGAUUUGUAUACAGAAACAAAAUUAAAAAUUAGGUGACUAUAAGCCACAGGAGAAACAAAAAGUUGAACAAAAGAAAUAAAAUCAUUGUACACUAUGUGGCUUAGCUUUUAUUUAUAUAGUCACAACAUAAGCACUGAAGAUGAAUUUAACAAAAUUAUCACAUAACUUAUAAAUUAUCAUAUAUUCAGAAAAUGAGGAGAGGAUUGUGCAUGCUGUAUGUGCAGGACAGCACACGCUCAUUUUUUUUUUCUUUUGGUACCAGGAAUCCAACUCAGGACCUUGCACUUGCCAGGCAGGCGCUGGUACCACUGAGCUAAAUCCCCAGCCCAACAAGCUCAUUUUUUAAGAUAAGUUCAGAGUUGAAAAUCAAGUUUAUACUGUUGCUG
ensembl:lncRNA